AAAAUAUAUAAAUCAGGAUUAUUCUUUUUUUAACAACAAAGAAGGAGUAAUACCAGUCUUAAGGCUUAACAAAUAUCCUGCACACAAUUAGCAAAGUUGAAAAAACUAUAUUAUAUAGACAGGAUGAGUGCAUCAACGUGAAACAAUCACUCCAGGUGAAUAGCUGCAAAGCUGUAAACAUACUUACUACCUCAACCAAGAUGAGAAAUUAAACUUGGACUACAAACCAGCCUUGCCAGGGACAAAGAAUUCCACAUUAACAUUACUUGACAAUGCCAGGAAGGAGCAGUACUGAAGCUACAAAAGCCAUUAAUCCUGUAGAUUGUACUUGUAUCUAGAGCUUUUAGUUUCAUCAAUUUGAUGAGCAUGAUGUGUCACCUCAAGUGGGACCUCCAUCACCUAAAGUAACCACAAUUAAUUCAGAAAUACAGAAGAGACAUUCAUUCAUUCAUUCAUUCGUGACCUGAGAGAUAUCUAUCCGUUUGCAAAGUGAGUGAUGUUUCUGAAAUGAUAUGCAGCUCAAACUCUUACUUUGCUACUAGGUGUAGAGCAGUUAAUAGACCUUAAAUUAAUCAAAAGCUACAUGUGGUUAAGGGGAGUAAUCUUUUGGUACAUUUUAUCUAGCAGAUCCAGAUCAAUUCCAAGACUGUUUUGCUUGAUCGUCACAAACCUAGAAGUCAAUUUCUGCAGCUGCAGAAGAAAAAAGUCUGUUCCAUAAGCAAGAUAAACAGCCCUUUAUGCUGAAACUGCUACUAUGAAUGCUCCCAGCUCACACUUCAGCUUCUAUUAUUCUCAGAAAAUUAAAGCUCUUUGACUUUAAUGAGAUGCUAGGACAGCAUGAACUGCAGCAGUGAAGCUUUGCCCUUGCAAGCCACAUUGGGUCAAAGAGACUAGAACACCAAGAUAAAGUUGGAGAACUAGAAAAUGCAGAAGGUAACUACAAACACAAUAUUCCAGCAUUACCAAUUACAAAGAGGUCUUACCUGGAAACUCCAUCAAGCUGCACUUACAACUUACUUAUUAUGUGCUUGACCCUGCAGGUUUUCCACAUUGCAGAAAUUAGAUCUCUGGCACUAGUUGAUUGGCAUUUCCAAGGGAAAUAAAAGCAGUUAACAGCAAUCCAUGACCAUUCUUCACUUCAGAAAUGCUCAUUUAUGGGGUCCAGUCUUAUACAGCACUUUCAGAAGACAGUCAUUAAGUCAUCUGGCAUAUUUCACAGGAAGAACUUGCAGCUGCCACUUUCUGUAGAUUCCCCUAAGCCUAUUAUGUCACAGUAAACUUCAUUUUGAACAAGGUACAUAAUAAAAACAGUCUUAAUCUCCUGCAGCUACAGGUCACACUGACUAUAGAUACUAUUCAGACUUUUAUGAGCAGAGUUAAUGAUGAUAUUUAAAAAUGGAGAAAAAGUAAGGUUUGAGCUUUACCAGACACAAUGUUUAAAAAGUGUUUCUGCUUACAAACAAAAGUCUAAUACAGCUUAUUUUACCUGUCUGAAGAUCAGAUAAUAAAUACAGAUUUCAAAGGUCCUACAUUCAGACAUAAUCAAAUACUAAGUAGGAACCUAAUGUUUCAACUAAAACAGUGAGGAUUACAUGAGUUUCAUAAAUUAAAUAUCACUUUAAAUUCUUUCAUUAACAGGCUUGUAUAGUAUUUUCACCUCUAAGAGCAGGAUGAAUUUCAAGUGGUAAAAUAAGGCCACUAUUAGUAAGUGCUUAAGUUAUGAACUUAAAACACAUCCUAAGCACCCAUCAUAUUUACAAUUAGAUUUUAGAUAAAUAAUCAGUCUCAACAUGCUGAUGCAAGAAAAUUAAGAACACAAAGAGCUUAAGUUAAAAAACAUGCUGAAAAAUAAGCAGAAAAAAUGCUUUACGCUAUUCAGUAUUAAAAAAAAAAAAAUCAAUCUGGAAGCUUUCACAGCAAUUGUUUAACAUAUCAGCUAGGUAGAAGUUCAGAUUUUCAGAAAAGUUUGUUAUUUACAACCUCUAAGACAUCUGUUUAUUGUAAGCAAAUGCUACAAUGCUACAUUCUGAACCCAUUCAUCUUUAGCUGGUGACAAAAGGCUGGCCGUGCUCACUGUUCUUACAAGCAGGUAUUCACUCAAAGAUGAAGAAAACGUUCACUUGAAAGAAGAAAAAGUACUGCAGGAGAAUUCAUAUGCAGUUCAAAAAACAA